rnacentral:lncRNA from 1 species
GUCUAAACUUGACUGGUACUUUAUAUGCAAAAAACCCCCACUUGUACAUGUCUGAAAUAGGACAAAUUUAAGCACCCACUUAAUUAGCACUAUACAGUACAUACCAGGGACAUAAUCAAAAUUUGUGAUGGUGGAUCAAUUCAAGGGACAAAUUCCAAGGAGAUAUAGCCAUAAUCUAGUUGAAUUGCAUCAGCUUUUUUGUUUGUUCCUAAUCAAGCACAAAUUCCGAACCGUAAAAUGCCUCUCCAGUCCUCGAGAAGACAUUGUUUCUCUGAAUGCUUCGAAACACCAGGGAUCCUAAUCAUUUUGCCACAGUUGUAAUAUGACUCUGAUUGGAGUCAUUUGGAAAAAAAUGGGCUGCCUGGGGGCUGCCUCUGUAGAAUUCGCCCUGCUGAUAAUUGCCCCGGUCUGUAAUUUCCCAGCAUUGAGAUUGGUGUGUGUGUGGAUCCUAAUGAUCAGAGGUGUUCAUCCACUCAUCCCAGUUAGAGGUAUUUCUCUCAUGGAACAUCUGAGCGCUUCCUUGCAAAGCCAGAAAGUCACAGCUGAAGAGUUUUCUUCCAUUGGCUCGAAAGUGGAUACUGGUCGAUAAGUGCUCACAUGAUCAUUCAUUGAACGGUCAAUCAGGGGCCGUGUCCAAAUAAACGGUCUACAGACAGUAUGGAAUUCACUGCACAAAUUUCUGGAAUUUUAUAGUCACAAUGCAUUGGAAGAGGGGGGCUGUGGCUGAACGGCGUUCGCGCUUGUUGUAUACAUCACCUUGUUGUUGUCCGACUGGCCAGAGUAGCCCGGAGCUCCCCCAUCUGACAGCGGAGUCGAAGGAGCACAGCAAGAGGAGCAUGGCAAUCAACGAUCGUCGCAUGUCACAAGCCGUGGAAGCCGAAGACAGCGGCCUCCAGCAACGCAGUCUACAGUCCCAACGAGAGGCCCGGAGCGGAUACCAACAACCAAUAGUUUCUCAGUCCUGAUGCCUGUUCUUCCUGCACCUUCGCCGCUGGGGGUACCUGUAUCUGCGGCCACUGUGCCUACUCCUAAGAUUUCGAAGUCGACAUUGGCAACCUGCUCUGGAUCGAGCGGUGCUUCUACAUCUCCAAAUUGAUUCUAUCAUAGUCCAUGUGGGUUUUAAUGACAUUAUGAAGGGCAGCUCUGAACAGUUGAAACUGGAUUUUAAAAGAGCUGAUUGACUCUCUGCUAGACACUAAUAAAAUACCCGUCUUAUCUGGCCCUGUGCCCUCUCAAUCGUGGCAUUGAACACUUUAGCAAGAUUCUCUCUUCACAUCUGGUUACAUGAUUAAUGCAGCCCAAUGGGUGUAGCUUUUGUGGACAAUUUCGAUACCUUUUGGAAACUAAAACAUGCUUUAUAAGGAGGAUGGGAUCCAUCCAAAACACUUGGGUUUCCUAGAUCCUUUCACAGCAUUAUAAGGCUGCGUUGAGACAAUGACUUAAGCCCAGCUCAGUUAAUCCCUACCAUUGUGAUGCUGAGUUGUCAUAAUUCUUCAGCAAAUGUACAUUAUACCAGGGGUUUUGGUAGACAAUGCAAGUAACCUAAUUUAAGUUCCUCUAAGUUCCCUGAAUGCCUCUGCUGAUCGUACAGCUAUUGUAUGCAGUAAUCAUGUGCCUAUGAACCAGUUUUAUACUGUUAGCACUGAGGCGGUGUGCCCUAGUAGGAAGUCCACUGUGUGCAGCUCACCCUGCACUAACAUAAAUAACAUGAGCAUAUCUACUUCUGCUAAGCUUCCCAGUAAAGCAAUCAAUCAAAACAAGCAUCCCAGAAGGUGCUCAAAAUAGCCCACGUUAACAUAUGUAGCUUAAGAAACAAGUUCCAUGAAAUCAAUAAUUUGCUAGUACCAGAUGACAUUCAUAUUAUCUCUGAAACUCACUUAUAUAGAUAAUACCUUCGAUACAGUGGUUGCAAUACAAGGUUAUAACAUUUACAGAAAAGACAGAAAUGCCAAUGGUGGAGGUGUUGUUGUUUAUAUUCCCGAACCACAUUCCUGUAAAGAUUAGAGACGAUCUCAUGUUAAAUACUGUUGAAGUAAUAUGGUUACAGGUUCAUCUGCCUCACCUAAAGUUCAUUCUUGUGGGAAGCUGCUAUAGACCAAAGUGCUAAGUCAGUAUCUGGAUAACAUAUGUGAAAUGCUUGAUAAUGUGUGUGAUAUCAACAGAGGUAUAUUUUCUGGGUGGCUUAAAUAUUGACUGGCUUUCAUCAAGCUGACCACUCAAGAAAAAGCUUAAAACUGUAACCAGUGCCUGGUUCAGGUUCUCAGUCAACCUACCAGAGUAGUUACAAACAGCACAGGAAUGAAAUCAACAUGUACUGAUCACAUCUUUAAUGCUGCAGAAAUUUGCUUGAAAGCAGUAUCCAGAUCCAUCGGAUGUAGUGAUCACAAUAUAGUAGCCAUAUCUAGGAAAACCAAAAGUUCCAAAGACUGGGCCUAACAUAUUGUAUAAGAGGCCAUACAAUAUGAUUUGUAGUGAUUCCUAUGUUGUUGAUGUAAAGAAUAUUUGUUGGUCCGUGGUGUGUAAUGAGGAACAAACAGACACUGCACUUGACACAUUUAUGAAACUGCUUAUUCCAGUUACUAUUAAGCAUGCACCCAUUAAGAAAAUGACUGCAAAAACUUAAAUCCCAGUGGAUUGAUGAGGAAUUUAAAAAAUGUUAUGGUUGAGAGGGAUGAGGCAAAAGGAAUGGCAAAUAGAUCUGGCUGCACAACCGAUUGGCAAACGUAUUGCAAAUUGAGAAAUCAUGUGGCUAAACUGAAUAAAAAGAAGAAGAAACUACACUAUGAAACAAAGAAAUGACAAAGAAUGACAGUAAAAAGCUUUGGAGCACCUUAAAUGAAACGUUGGGAAAAAAGGCAAACUUGGCUCCAUCCUUCAUUGAAUCAGAUGGCUCAUUCAUCACAAAACCAACUGAUUACGUUAACUACUUUAAUCAUUUUUUUAAUUGGUAAGAUUAGCAAACUUAGGCAUGACAUGGCAGCAACCAACGCUGACACUACACAUCCAAGUAUAUCUGACCAAAUUAUGAAAGACAAGCAACGUAAUUUUGAAUUCCGUAAAGUGAGUGUGGCAGAGGUGGAAAAUGAUUUUGUCUAUCAACAAUGGACAAGCCACCAGGGUCUGACAACUUGGAUGGAAAAUUACUGAGGAUAAUAGCAAAGUGUGUGCUCCCAGGCUUGGAGGGAAGCAAAAGUAAUUCCGCUACCUAAGAAUAGUAAAGCCCCCUUUACUGGCUCAAAUAGCCGACCAAUCAUCCUGUUACCAACCCUUAGUAAACUUGGGGGGAAAAAAUAGUUUGACCAGAUACAAUGCUUUUUUACAGUAAACAAAUUGACAACAGACUUUCAGCAAGCUUAUAGGGAAGGAUAUUCAACAAGCACAGCACUUUCAAAAAUGACUGAUGAUUGGCUGAGAGAAAUUGAUAAAAAGAUUGUGGGGGCUGUCUUGUUAAGACUUCAGUGCAGCUUUUGACAUUAUCAAUCAUAGUCUGCUGCUGGAAACACUUGUGUUAUGGCUUUACACCCCCUGCUAUAUUGUGGAUAAAGAGUUACUUGUCUAACAGAACAGAGGGUGUUCUUUAACGGAAGCUUUUCCAAAAUAAUCCAGGUAGAAUCAGGAAUUCCCCAGGCAGCUGUCUAGGCCCCUUACUUUUUUCAAUCUUCACUAAUGACAUGCCACUGGGUUUGAGUAAAGCCAGUGUCUACGAAUGCAGAUGACAACACUAUACGUCAGCUACUACAGUGACUGAAAUGACGGCAACACUUAACAAAGAGCUGCAGUUCAUUUCAGAGUGGGUGGCAAGGAAUAAAUUAGACCUACAUAUUUCUUAAUCUAAAAGUAUUCUAUUUGGGACAAAUCAUUCACUAAACCUCAACUAAAUCUUGUAAUAAAUAACGUGGAAAUAGAGAAAGUUGAGGUGACUAAACUUCUUGGAGUAACCCUGGAUUGUAAACUGUCAUGGUCAAAAGAUAUCAAUACAACAGUAGCUAAGAUGGGGAGAAGUCUGUCCAUAAUAAAGCGCUGCUCUACCUUAACAGCACUAUCAUCAAGGCAGGUCCUACAGGCCCUAGUUUUGUUACACCUGGACUACUGUUCAGUCGUUUGGUCCAUCUCUCCUGGCUCAAAGUGGAGGAGAGAUUGACUUCAACACUACUUGUAGUUAUGAGAGGUAUUGGCAUGUUGAAUGCGCCGAGCUGUCUUUUUGAACUGCUGGAGCACAACUUGGACACCCAUGCAUACCCUAAAAAGACAUGCCAUCAGAGGUCUCUUCACAGUACCCAAGUCCAGAACAGACUAUGGGAGGCGCACAGUACUACAUAGAUCCAUGACUACAUGGAACUCUAUUCCACAUCAAGUAACUGUUUUAUGGAACAGCGGGGACUGUGAAGCAACGAACACAUGCAUACACACACGAUAAUAUAUGCACUAUAUUGUAAUGUUUUAAAAAUUGUAUAGCUGCCUUCAUUUAACUGGACCCCAUGAAGAGUAGCUGCGAUCCAUAAUAAAUACAAAUUACACUUGCAGUAUGAUCUGUUUUCAAAGCAGAGCCAAAUCCUCUAGUUAAAUAGUGGACCUUCAUGGUCAUGGCUUGCUAAGACUCCAAACAGGCUUGCAACCGCAGGGCCAGCCUGGGGACCUUGUAUAAUUGACCGGGCUGGAAAGGGACUGGAUGGGGACGUUAAUAAAAUUGAGCCAAUAUAUUCACAAGUCGGUGUAAGAUCGUUCACAUGACAGAAAACCAAAAUAAACAGUCCUAGGAGCAAAAACAGGUUCAAAUCAGAGUGACUGAUAACCAUAUACUGUACUUCAUUGAAACGGAAGAAUAAGAUGAGAGAAAGUUAAAUAUCAGGAGGGCAACUCAAAUGAAGGAGGAGUGCUGAAGGGCUAGAGUGAGUCACUGCUGGAAACUUUGAUUGGAUCAUAUACGUUGACAUACAUUUAGAAAACGCAAUCCUUCUGGGGAACUGGAGAGUGCACGCUCUCGUGUUUGUCAACAUCAGCACCUCUACAUGUUGGGUUGGGGAGUCUAACUUAUGUAAGGGGGUGAUAGAGGACAUGCAUGCUGGUUGGGGUACCAUUUUUGCACACAACAUGACAGUGCAAUUUGGUAGUUCAGGGGGAACAACAGUCCCUCUGGUGAGGAUGAGAGAAAUCGGGGUGUGGAACAAAAGGUUCCCAUGUGGCUCAGUUGGUAGAGCAUGGCACUUGCAAUGCCAGAGUUGUGGGUUCGAUUCCC